rnacentral:rRNA from 1 species
UACAGAGGGUGCAAGCGUUGUUCGGAAUUACUGGGCGUAAAGCGAGUGUAGGCGGUCUCAUAAGUCGGGUGUGAAAGCCCUGGGCUCAACCCAGGAAGUGCACUCGAAACUGCGAGGCUAGAGUAUCGGAGAGGUUGGUGGAAUUCUCGGUGUAGAGGUGAAAUUCGUAGAUAUCGAGAGGAACACCGGUGGCGAAGGCGGCCAACUGGACGAAUACUGACGCUGAGACUCGAAAGCGUGGGGAGCAAACAGG